UAAAGACGUCAUUAAAACAAUGCUGUUCCAGGGCAGAUAGAAGAGUCUCCAAAAUACAGCUUCAGAUUGUGCUAAGGGGCUGGAGUAAGCCUUGAAAGAACGCUUCAGGAUGUCACUGCCAGAGUCCUGUAGGUAGCUGGCACAGCACCCAGAGGAAACUGCUUCUGGAACCUGAAACUGGUCUUUUGUUCUCCAUCAGCAUCACAUGCAGCCUGAGUGAUAUUUCUUCUGCUUCUAUAUUAAGAGAGAGAAUGCACUGUGUGUUUUCAACAGGAUUUGAGUAUCCAGGGUGCAUAUAGCCAAGCUUUCCUCUGAGCUUUUCAGGGAAGCAAAGCAGAAGCCCAGGUAACCACCUGCCCUCAGGAACUGCAGCUCCACAGACGUUACUGGAUAUAGGAAGAUUUGGCAAGACCACAGCAUUUCUGCACUUGUUUAUCCCUGUAGGGACAGGGUAGUGUUACACCAGUUGUGCAAGGAUAUUCUGUAUAAUUCCCAAUGCCCACAUUCAAAAAAGAAGAAUUCAGAAAUUCGUAGUAGACAUAUGGGGAACAGGGGUCAAAAUGUCCUCUCCAGGACUAGGGACUUCUCAGGACACAUGGAGUGGAGGGUAAGCUGGAUAGCGAUUUUAGGCUGAGGAACCAAAAGGCAAACCAAGUGCUUUCUCCAAAACAAGACCAAAGCUGCAAGGAGCCAAUGUGUAUGAGAUGUCUAUAGAUGCCUCAUUAUGUAAAAUUAUUCCCUUUAAAAUCUAUGCUAAAGUAACCUAGUUUUGUAACAGGAUGCUGCUGGCUAGGCAUCACUGGCUUGUAAUGCCUUUGACAACAUUUCUUGUUCAGUUUCUGCAGUGCUGGGAUGGAUCUGUGCAUCAGCCUGAGAACUAAUGCCAGAAGAACUGAUUUAAUUUGUGGUCUACCUCAGCAUCUCCUCUAUGGAUUAUGUAAGACAUUUUGCUUUUCUGUAGUUAUAACCUGGUCCUGAGGACAGUAGACUUUGCCUUCACAUGUGGGCUUGCCUUGGCCAUCCACUAUUGCAGUGAGAGCUACCAGAGUUAUAAAUCGCAUAAAACAUAUAUAGUUUCUUCUGGAAGAAAUUAGAAGUGGCUCUAGAUGUCACAUAUCAACUGGCUUAUAAAUAUAACUUUAAUGCCUAAAAAAAGGUGAUGAUCACCUUUAUACCUGUUUAAUAGCAUCAUUUUAAAGUGAAUUACUGACAUCAUAUAUUACCUUCUUCCCCUACAGUAAAUGGUCUCUCCCUGCACUAUUAUAUUACUUAUUGUAAAUUCAUUCAAGCAGUAUAUUUUGCUUUCAGCAAGGUAUCUUCAGUUACUUUUUCUGUCCAGGAUAAAUUGAGAUAAAUUUUGCCUGUGCCUGCAUUUUGCUCAUGGCAUCCAUCUUUGCCCAUGAAAAGUUACAUGUAGAGUUGAACAGGACUUGAGAAAUGAUCAUAUUGUACUGUAGAAAGUUACAGAUCACCAGUUUGCAGUCAAGCUGUGUGCAGAGGGCUCACUGAAGCAGCCAGGAGUUUAAUAGGAAGUGAAAAACAUAAAGAAAUGUGAUGUAUUCUCUAAUGUUUAUCCCGAUAAAGUAAUAAGUACAUUACAAGGAAGUGACACUAGUUAUUUACCAUGACAUCAUAAGAUUAUACAGUAGCGUAUCACCCUAGGCACCACUGUUGCUAGUUAUCAUAUUUUUGCUGUUGUAGGAUUUAUUUCAAGGGCUGUAGAAAAAACAAAAUUUUACUUUUUUUUUUUGGGGGGCAAGAUUUCAAAUAAAAGAGAUCUCUAUCCCUGUGCUGACAUUCCUGUUCUCCCAAGGCUUAGCAAAUCUCACAGCUGUGGCCACUUGCUGCCAAAUCAAAUAAAAACCCUAAGGUUAGCACCAACCAGCUUCUUUGAGGAG